CGGGUGAGUAAUGCCUAGGAAUCUGCCUGGUAGUGGGGGACGAACGUUUCGAAAGGAACGCUAAUACCGCAUACGUCCUACGGGAGAAAGCAGGGACCUUCGGGCCUUGCGCNUAUCAGAUGAGCCUAGGUCGGAUUAGCUAGUUGGUGAGGUAAUGGCUCACCAAGGCGACGAUCCGUAACUGGUCUGAGAGGAUGAUCAGUCACACUGGAACUGAGACACGGUCCAGACUCCUACGGGAGGCAGCAGGG
rnacentral:rRNA from 1 species